GGGCCCGUCGCCCAGCCAGGAUAGGGCACAGGCCUCCUAAGCCUGGGGUCGUGGGUUCGAAUCCCACCGGGCCCG
rnacentral:tRNA from 1 species